rnacentral:rRNA from 1 species
AGUGAACGCUGGCGGUAGGCCUAACACAUGCAAGUCGAACGGCAGCACAGUAAGAGCUUGCUCUUACGGGUGGCGAGUGGCGGACGGGUGAGGAAUACAUCGGAAUCUACUUUUUCGUGGGGGAUAACGUAGGGAAACUUACGCUAAUACCGCAUACGACCUACGGGUGAAAGCAGGGGAUCUUCGGACCUUGCGCGAUUGAAUGAGCCGAUGUCGGAUUAGCUAGUUGGCGGGGUAAAGGCCCACCAAGGCGACGAUCCGUAGCUGGUCUGAGAGGAUGAUCAGCCAAACUGGACUUGAGAAACGGUCCGAAUCCCUACGGAGGGCAGCAGUGGGGAAAAUUGGCCAAUGGGGGAAAGCCUGAUCAAGCCAUACCGCGUGGGUGAAGAAGGCCUUCGGGUUGUAAAGCCCUUUUGUUGGGAAAAAAAGCAGCAGGUUAAUACCCCGCUGUUCUGACGGUACCCAAAGAAUAAGCACCGGCUAACUUCGUG